GACGAACGCUGGCGGCAUGCCUAACACAUGCAAGUCGAACGGAGAUUAUUUCGGUAAUCUUAGUGGCGAACGGGUGAGUAACGCGUGGGCAACCUGCCCUCUAGAUGGGGACAACAUCCCGAAAGGGGUGCUAAUACCGAAUGUGACAGCAAUCUCGCAUGAGGAUGCUGUGAAAGAUUGCCUCUAUUUAUAAGCUAUCGCUAGAGGAUGGGCCUGCGUCUGAUUAGCUAGUUGGUGGGGUAACGGCCUACCAAGGCGAUGAUCAGUAGCCGGUCUGAGAGGAUGAACGGCCACAUUGGGACUGAGACACGGCCCAGACUCCUACGGGAGGCAGCAGUGGGGAAUCUUCCGCAAUGGGCGAAAGCCUGACGGAGCAAUGCCGCGUGAGUGAUGAAGGAAUUCGUUCCGUAAAGCUCUUUUGUUUAUGACGAAUGUGCAGAUUGUGAACAAUGAUCUGUAAUGACGGUAGUAAACGAAUAAGCCACGGCUAACUACGUG
rnacentral:rRNA from 1 species